UGACGUCCUCUCAAAUUUGAUUCUCUUGAGUAGCCCGGCUAUUGUCUGGUCCCUUUCGCAAUCUGGCCCGGGUUUAGAAUUUCUAUCUGAACAAUUAGGGUCUCUAUGUCCGGUCGUCCCUAUCCUUUGCAGGGGGAUGCAGGGGAAAAAGGAGAGGGUAAGUCUGAACAAAAUCCCUAAUUUCUGUUUCAGAGAGAGAAAGAGAGAGAGAGAGCUGUUGCGUGGUGAAGACAUGGUGGCGAUAUCGUUGUACAGGGGUAACCUCCACAGGGUCCCCAACGUCCAACGUAAAUGGCUGAUCCCUACCCCAACAAUCUCCCUCAAAGACUUCAGAAUCCUCCUCAACCGCCGCUCCAGAGCCCUCGCUCGCCUCCACUCCCCCACCCCCUCCAACCCUAACCCUAGCGUCAAAAACGAAGAGGAAAAUCUCAUAGGAAACGAUUUCCAGCAUCCUCCUCACCCGGACCCGCCGAAGAUCGAUGCUACUACUAGUCGUCGUGGAGAAGAAUUGGCUGUGAAGGAAGAGGUUAAUGAGCAGGACGGGUUGGAUGGUAGCGGUGCUUCGGUGAAACCGGUGGAUGGUUGCGAUGCGUCGCGUGAUGGGAAGCCGGAGAGCGGUACCAAUUCAGUGGAUGCGAAUGGCGAUUCGCGAGGCGAGAAGGCGCCGGAGAUUUUGGAGAAUCCAAAGGCGGAGGAGACAAGCAACAAAGUGGAUGUCUUAACUGAUAAAGAGAAAAGGAAAAAGGAAGUCGAGGACAAGUUGCAAGUUCUGAAUGAGAAGAAACAUAAUUUAGUACAAGUUCUCAAGCAGAUCUUGAGUGCAGAAGAAGAGUUAAAGAGGCGAAAUAGCAUGCAAGGAACAGGGAUUCGUCCAUCUGUCCCGCUUCAAGGGGAUGCUACAAAUGAUUCUGGAUCAUUGACUAGGAUUGCCACUCCUAGGUUGAACUCAGAGGGAAACCUUGGCGGUGAUAUGGAAGGAGCAGAGGCUGAUGAUGCUUCAAACCAUACUAUUCAUUCUCGCCAUUUGCUUCGAAUGAGCAGUAUAUCACCUCGUUCUGAUUCUCCUCAUAGAAGACCGGUCUUUAGUGUGCUUCCUCACCCUCCUCGAGCAAGCUUGGCUGUUUCCGGCAGUCCUUCGCGCUUUGCUCCCUCAGCACACCACCCUGCAAAUCUGCCAACAGUCUCUGUAUCCGGAACAAGUUACAUUGCCUCCUCCCCUUCCCCUGCAGCAUCAGGCGGCACUUCUUCGUUCAGAGAUGCCAGACUUCCCAGUCCAUGGAAUUAGAAGCCUUUUGCUUCCUAAAUGGAAUUUGUUGGAUGCUUUGAACUGUUUUUCACAGCAGAAACAGCUGACCCACAUGCAAUCGGCACCUUAACUACUUUCACUCUCCAAGUGAUCUGGGACAGGUUCGGAGUUUUCAAACAUUCGCCUCACCUUAUCCGUCUCGGUCUGAAGCCUCAGAACGUCUUCGGUACUGGAUCUGGGUCACAACAAUUGAACCCUGAAAAGUUCACGCGCCUCCUGUGGGACCAACUCAAGCUCAUCCGCGGGGGACUCUGCAGAAGGGAUUAGUAUGAUUCUGUGAAUAAACCGUGAGUUUUAUGUGCUAGAAUCACAUAGUUAUUGAUAUCUGAUCAGCUUAAAUUUUGCUGGGGAAAACAGUAAACACCUCAAAAAGCCGAACAAAAUGAACCGUUUCAAUCCUGUAAUAGGGCCUUGGCCUUGGGUGAUGCCCUUGCGCAUGCUAGGCUCCCCGCCUCAGUAGGGCUAUUGCCUUGGAGUAGUGAACAAUCUCUUUAAUUUCCACUCGCAUGAUAGUAAUCUAACAACCGUAUAACAACCACAUUCUGACAUCCAAGUGGGGCUCGUAGAAAUUGUAAUGACACCGGACCCAUACAGCAGCUUGUCAAUGUCCAUCCUAUUAGCCUUAGACACCCAGCUUCAAAAGUUAAAGCUCAGAUGUACCGCGUAGCUUUUGUACGUUUCCUUGCAUCUUCGUUGUCCCUUCAGUAACACAGUGAUGUGGGACUACGGGUAUUGUAGAAAACAUUGCAAUCUUGGGUGUCUGUGCAAGUGUGUGCGAGACGCCGAGGCCUGCCUUGGAUAUUUUAAGGAUGAUGAUGCUCUAACGGCAAUUUCCCAAGGCCAGAAGCUACAAAAGUGCUUGCAAUAAACUAUAAAUUCUC